AGUUGGAGGUUAGAUCUCGGGCAGAGCAUAUUCGGUUAUGCCAGAUCUAUUACUUCCAACUGA
rnacentral:pre_miRNA from 1 species